CGGGGCUUUUGAAAGAGGGCGCGUCAUUCUCUAUAAAACCGCUCAUAUCGGUGCGUAGUGUCAAAAUCCUCCCUUCUACUCUUCCUACCUGCUCAAGCAAUCAAACUAUCUGGUCACCAUGAGCGCAACCAUUGACGCACUCGCAAUUGUCAAGGCUGUCUUUGUCAAGUAUGCUGCAGUGCAAGGGGACAAAGACACCUUGACCAAGGCUGAAGUCUCCAAAUUGCUCAGUGAGCAAAUUGGGGUGAAAGGAAGCAACAAGCAGUCUGUGGACUUCUUCAAAGACCUGCAAGCAAGUGGUAGUAGCGUCUUCCGUCUCAAAGACUAUGUGGCUUUGGCUGUAACUCUCAGUGAAAUUCUGGGAUAAUCUCACUAAUCCAAGUUGCUUCAGAACUUCUUUGGGUACUUUAAUUUGUUCUAAAUGAAAGCAUAAACUGGAGGAUCAAAUUUUGCAUCCUUGAAGUUCAAUGUAAUAAGUGAUGAAUAAAAACUAAAAAAGAA